rnacentral:lncRNA from 1 species
UUUUUCUUUGUAUUUUUAGAUUUUUCAGUUUCUUGUACGAGCAACUGAAUCUCGACCAUUCUACCGAUCAAAAACUCCAAAAAAGACCACUCAAGAUAACCCUCUCGUCUAAGCACUCUCGUAAGAUCAUUCGGCUCAACACAAAUCGACCUGAGAUUUUGAGGGAGCUCAGUCAACUUAGUUCUCUCAGCCAAGGGUCGAAAGAGAGUCUGUUUGAUUACCCCAAUUGAUGUAUACCUUCAAGGUUCCUUGAUCAGAGUUUUUUAGUCGUUUAAAGAUAUUAUGCCACCUCCUCCGGCUAACUUGUUGUUAUUCGGGUCAUUUCAAUCGAUUAAGUGCUUCAAUCGACCAAACAAGUCCAUUCAACCACUCUAGUUGGUUAAGGAUCCGAUCUGGCCAACCCUCUUGGCUAAGCAUCUAACGGAGGUCAUUCAACUUGACCCAAUCGGCCUAAAGUUUGCCAAGCAUUGUAGAGAGGUUAUUUGGCUUAGCCUUGUCGGCCUAAGACCUUGGAGGAUUUAGUCGGCCGGAAUUACUUGGCCUAAAGUCGUAAAGUCGAUAUGAGGGCUAGUUGGCCUCCCU